AACUGUGGCAUCCCAUGGUUGACUCACAUGUACAAGGCAAACAUUGGCUCCAUCAGGAAAAGAUACGGGGGCAUCUGGCUGUAGAAAGAACCAGAGGUUUUGUCUGCCAGAGGUCAGCAAAUGAGUGGGUGGUGCUUAACAGUCAAUGGGUAAUCCUGACUCAGGAGGGAAGCGCAACAGAGUUAGUAGGUAAAAUAAGGAGCCAAGUAGUUGGGGUUAUCAAUUUGCCCUUGGCCAGCAAUUUUAUCCUAAGUCAGAUAUUAAAUGUUUAAAUAGCCAUACGUUUCUUUGAGACCAAUGCAUAUUGAUAAGCACAUAUGCAUCAGGCUAUUUUAGUCACUGAAGCUUUUUCAGAAUUGCCAGUGAAGAUCUUUGUUAAAAGCUGGUGUUAUAUUAUCUACCUUUCAGUAGUCAGGUACCAAGGCUGAAUUGAGCGGUUGUGUUACCAUGGUUAUUUCACGACUGUGUUGCUCCAGAACACUUAGAGCUGAUUCAGAUGCUGAGGAAAGGCACGUAAUGCUGUUCUCAUGGGACUGUACCAUCUCGGAAUGCACAUGGAGAUCACAUGUUUGCAAUCAACGUGCCCUCACAUUAACAAUCUCCCUACAAAUGUAAAGCAAUUGUACCAGUUUUGUCUGUAAACAAAGAGACUUGGCAUCAGGGCUCUGUUAAGAUGCUUGAAUCCAGUCUUAGAGCACAUAUGCAUUGCAGUUUUGAGAGGGGUCAGAUGAACUUUCAGGCCAUCUACACAUUGCUGUUUACUAUGGCUCCACUGCACUCCCACUGCUGGUGUGUGAAGCCAUGUGUGCAUGACGUUAGCCACAACCCAUAUCUAUCCUGUAAUUUCUUCAGAAAUACUGCUUUUUGAUAUGCUUUCCCUCAAACCAGCUUCCAUCUAAUUUGAAAACAUAAGCCAUGUUUGCUUUCCAGUUAAGAUGAGGUGUCUACAUUUGAUAUAGACUUUGCACAUGGGCAGAUGAGAACUUCAUGAACAGGAGGGGGUGGGGCUGCAGUUGUGGGGAAACCAAACUGGCAAUACGCACCACCCUGUUCCCUCUCUGGUGUGUACUGCAAUGUACAAAUGUGACUUGAAAUGAAGUAGGGGAAACCGAUCUUGUUUGUUUUUUAGGUUACUAAUGUGUCCACAGCUCAAUUGUGCAUAGUAUUCCUGCAAUGAAGGGGUGGAGACCCUUGGACCCUUUAGGUGAUGCUGGACUACCACUCCCAUAAUCCCCAACAACUGGUCAUGCUGGCUGGGAUAGAUGUCUGUUGGUAGUCAGUGGGUCACCAUGUGACUUCAACCCAAUGCAGUCCUUCACCUGGCAUGGCUGCUUGCAGAUAUUUUAUACAAAUUCUAAAAACCACAUAACGAAUCCCUGUCUUGGGUAUUUAAAAGCAAAAGAGCCAAUGAGCUUCCUUAGAGGUUCUCCAGGUUAGCUAAAGUUCAUAAUGCUUUAUUGCCUUGGGAUGGGGGCAUAGAAAGGAAGCUCUUUAUAUGUACAGACAUUCUAUUUCCCCCUCCUGUGGAAAUUAUGCAUACUAAUGCAAACUCCCACAAGAGGGUGGGGGUGGGGGACACACACCAGGUUUUCUGUGGUACAAGCCGCUGAUGCAGAAGAUUAGCACUUAGUCAGUUCCUCCUCCCUUCCACUUGAACUCUUGCCAAAAGCACGAUAGGAGGCAUAAUAGUUGGGGAAGAAUUAGAGUGGACGGAAUGCUUCUUCUCCUGUUUUUAGAACUCUGGGUUUGGGUGUGCAGUUCCAGGAAGGGGGGUUGUGGACAAAAAGUCAUAUCCAUUUCCUCUUAUCAGCUAUAGCUGGGAGGACCACUGGAUGUUGGGUGUUUAUGGCUCAUUCUCAGGCUUAAGACCUCUGCCCCAGUAUUGGAAAACCCAAGAGGAGGAAUGGGAUUGAAUGAGGCCCAUCGCUUGCACACAGCUUUGAAGAAAGAGGAUCAAGAAGCCAAAGUCAAAUGCAGGGGUCGGCAAAGUUUUUGUGGCUUGGGCCUGUUCACGGUCCCGCAGAUGCUGCGGUGGGCCAGAGUGUGUGUGUGUGCGUGCACGCACGCAUGCAUGUACGCACGCACAAACACUAUUUCCGGUGCUCCUUCCGGUGCAGAGGAGGCAUGCGCAGCUUCCCAUUGGCUGCAGGAGCUUCCCGCAGCCAAUGGGAAGCUGGCCAGCAUUGCGGAAGGCGGUCCCCGCUCUGCUCCACGCUGCUUUAGCGCGGCUCACGGGAGUCGACCAAGCAGGCGGCAGGGGUCCCCAAGUGGGUGGCGGGGGUUCAUGGGCCCGUUAAACAACCCCCAUGGGCUGCUUGUGGUCCAUGGGCCUUAGGUUGCCAACCCCUAGUCAAAUGCAUUCCUCCCUCCACCCACAUCACAGUACAGUGUGGUGGGGAUGUUGGUUCUUGUUUCAUGGCUAUCAGCAGUGCUUUCCCCAAAUAAAUAGGAAGCACCAGCUAAGCUGGUCAUAAAACCUCUAUAGAUGGGAAAGCAGGUCUAAACAGGCAAAUUCUGAAAUUGCAUAUUGUCUGGGCAGCGGUUCAUAAGAGCACGGCUGAGUACUCACCUUUAAAGCACAUGGCUUCCCCCAAAUAUUCCUGGGAACUGCAGUUUGUCAAGGCUGCUGAGAAUUGUAGCUCUGUGAGGGGUAAACUACAUUGCCCAGGAUUCUUUGGGGGGAAGCCCUGUGCUUUAAAUAUAUCGUGUGUAUGCAACCCAUGUCUCUAUUUUAAAAAAGGAAUAAUAGGAAACUUGUUUCAUUACUGAGGAUCCCUACUAGGAACUUAAUCCGUCCAAAAACAAAAACCUAGUUCCCAUGGUUCUCUUUGGGGAAGUUCUGACAGUUAAGCCAAUUUCAAACUGGUUUGAAUUGUCUAAGCCUUUUCAGAGAGUAUUGAUUGAGAGUUUGAGAGCGCAUUGAAGAAUGGUUAUAGCCAGAGAUGCACAUUCUAUUUUCCACCACUGCCACCCCCUGUCCUGUCCUGCAGUGGUCUCUCAACAAGCUGGUUUUGCAGGUUUCUUCAGACCUGCACUUCAAACGUUACCCAGGAAGAACAAAAAGUAGCUUCCAGCAAUAUGACUGCAGUUGUUGCAACAGACCUGUGUACCUUUUAAGGUGGCUGUUGGAGCCUCCCCCAUGCUAGUGACGCAGUCAGUGCCAGAUUUACGUAUAAGCUAAACAAGCUAUAGUUUAGGGCCCCACUCUCUUGAGGUAAAGGUAAAGGGACCCCUGACUGUUAAGUCCAGUCGCAGACAACUGGGGUUGCAGCGCUCAUCUCACUUUACUGGCCGAGGGAGCCGACUUUUGUCCCCAGACAGUUUUUCCGGGUCAUGUGGCCAGCAUGACUAAGCCACUUCUGGCGAAACCAGAGCAGUGCAUGGAAACAUCGUUUACCUUCCCGCUGGAUCGGUACCUAUUUAUCUACUUGCACUUGAUGUGCUUUCGAACUGCUAGGUUGGCAGGAGCAGGGACUGAGCAAUGGGAGCUCACCCCAUUGUGGGGAUUCAAACCGCCGACCUUCUGAUCGGCAAGCCCUAGGCUAUGUGGUUUAAACCACAGCGCCACCCGCAUCCCAUCCACUCUCUUGGGGGCCCCCC
rnacentral:lncRNA from 1 species